UUGUGGAAAUUCACAGCAAGUGGUUCACCUAAAGUUAAUGAUACGAGACCUCUGCUUUGUUUUAGUGCAGAUACAGUUCCAAUUAGAUCAGUUGCAUGGGCCCCAUCAAGUGAUAUGGAGAGCUCAAAUGUUAUUCUUACCGCUGGACAUGGAGGUCUUAAGUUUUGGGACAUACGUGAUCCAUUUCUUCCAUUGUGGGAUGUCCAUCCGGCACCAAAGUUCAUGUAUAGUGUGGAUUGGCCGCUAGAACCAAGAUGUGUUAUGAUAUCCUUGACGAUGGAACAAUGAGACUUCUCAGCUUAGUUCAUGCAGCAUGUGACGUUCCUGGCACUGGAAAACCUUUUGGGGGGACCAAGCAACAAGGACUGCACCUUUAUAAUUGUUCAUCCUUUGCCAUCUGGAGUGUACAAGUGUCGCAGUUAACAGGUAUGGUGGCAUAUUGCGGUGCAGAUGGUGCUACAACGUGCUUUCAG